rnacentral:tRNA from 1 species
GGGGUUGUGGCUCAGAGAUAGAGUGCUUGCUUGGCACGCAUGAGGCACUGGGUUUGAUCCUCAGCACCACA